GACGAACGCUGGCGGCGUGCCUAAUACAUGCAAGUAGAACGCUGAAGAGAGGAGCUUGCUCUUCUUGGAAGAGUUGCGAACGGGUGAGUAACGCGUAGGUAACCUGCCUUGUAGCGAGGGAUAACUAUUGGAAACGAUAGCUAAUACCGCAUAACAAUGGGUGACCCAUGUCAUUCAUUUGAAAGGGGCAACUGCUCCACUACAAGAUGGACCUGCGUUGUAUUAGCUAGUAGGUGAGGUAACGGCUCACCUAGGCGACGAUACAUAGCCGACCUGAGAGGGUGAUCGGCCACACUGGGACUGAGACACGGCCCAGACUCCUACGGGAGGCAGCAGUAGGGAAUCUUCGGCAAUGGGGGCAACCCUGACCGAGCAACGCCGCGUGAGUGAAGAAGGUUUUCGGAUCGUAAAGCUCUGUUGUAAGUCAAGAACGAGUGUGAGAGUGGAAAGUUCACACUGUGACGGUAGCUUACCAGAAAGGGACGGCUAACUACGUGCCAGCAGCCGCGGUAAUACGUAGGUCCCGAGCGUUGUCCGGAUUUAUUGGGCGUAAAGCGAGCGCAGGCGGUUUGAUAAGUCUGAAGUUAAAGGCUGUGGCUCAACCAUAGUUCGCUUUGGAAACUGUCAAACUUGAGUGCAGAAGGGGAGAGUGGAAUUCCAUGUGUAGCGGUGAAAUGCGUAGAUAUAUGGAGGAACACCGGUGGCGAAAGCGGCUCUCUGGUCUGUAACUGACGCUGAGGCUCGAAAGCGUGGGGAGCGAACAGG
rnacentral:rRNA from 1 species